UUUUUUUAUUUCAUUUUAUUUUUUAAUUUAAUAACAUUACUACAAUUUGUUUUACCAAAAAUUGUUUUAUUUUGAUAGAAACAGCAGCAUUAUACAUCCAUCGUGUGUAGCUUGUCAACUUGGUAAGAUAUUUCUUUUAAUUGUACAUAUAAUAUACCUUUUUCAGAGGGUCAUUUAUUUUAAACUACAAUAUAUUAUACCAUCUUACAUACCAUUCACUUCCCUCUCUUAUGGAAGUAUUCUAUAGUUUUCUCAUUCAUAAUGUUCACCUCCCAACCUCAUAUCCAUAUACAGAUGUAUCAGCCUUCUUUCUGCUAUGUCAAAGCUCCUUUGAAAACUCCAAUUCUGCUUUAGUCCCCAUCACAUGAUCCAGCAAAGUUUCAGAAUUAUUGCCAUAAUUUUCUCCACUCUAGAAGACUGAGUUUUCCUCGGGUUCGUUCACUUUGAAUAGGGCCUUUUACCUAGGCAACAUUUAUAAACUAAGUUUCCCACCCACCCCUUAGUAUGUUAUCCUGGAAUAGUAUUUAAUUGAUUGUCAAUUCAGAGGGAGGUGUGGCAAGAACACUCAAAUACCAGACCAAUAUAACGCAGAAGGUUGUAGAAAUUAUCAGUCAAAAAAUUGAGAAUGUUGCCUUAAACAAUGUCCUCGAGACCUCGAUCUCCCACCUCCCUCAUAUUGAGUGUCAUCGUUGAUUAGGCUACAACAAAUUAUGUUAAAAAACUGAAUAAUUAAGCCCAGGCGCUUGACCUGGCGAUAUGAAUGGAUGAGGAAGUUAGCCCUAACAGUGAGUGCCUUCACGAUAGGGGAAAGCGGUGGGGUCGGAGAGCUGUGACGCCGAGGUUUUGGUGUGAGGAAGGAAUUUUUGGAGUGAAGCCGUAUUGUCGGAUGUACCUUUUCCUGCCUCAAAAAAGUCGACUGAAAAAACUUACGAUCGUAUUCGACAACUUUAUUUUAGGCCUGGAAUCUACCGUGAUAUCUCAAUUUCAUAACCCCCAUACAAAGAGGACCUGCGGGAAUUAUAUCCACGAGAAAUCUGAGUAUUCUUUGGGCUGUAACAUUAUGGGGCCCCUCCUAAGAUUUGCGCACAUAUUAAUUUUCGAGGUCUGUUUACAAAAUGGAUCGAACUAAUUUCCAUCCGAAGUGCCGAUGCCACUACCGUGGCCAGUUGCUUUAAGCAUCAUAUCCUGUACCGUUGGAGCACACCAUACUGGUUGAUCACUGAUACUGGCAUCGCUUUUGUAAAUAAAAACUUACGAUAUGUUCGGUAUCGAAAUCAGAAACACACCUCGUUACUGGUCACAGCUAAUCCGGGUGAGCGGCUAAAUCUUACCGUAAAAAUUGUGAUUUCCUCAUACCUGGGAGUGGAUAAUGGAAAAUAGGAUAUGUACUUGCCUGAAGUUGUUACUUUGCUCUCAAUUCAAGUGUUCAUGCGUCGAUGGGCUAAAGUCCGGCCUUUAUAAACUUUGGCCAGGAAUUAAGGCAGCCUAACACGCCGAGGUCUGGUUUAAAACAGGUAGGUCAGUAUUUGGACCCAAUCAGUUGGCAAAAGUCUUUAUGUGCUUUACAGGAAAUGCUAGUGGAGAAGAAUCUGUCAGUAGACCUCAAGAGCCCAAGAGGCAAUCCUGCUACUACAACCUCAGGAGGCGUCACGUAAAAUAUUGGAGACUUGGUAAUGACGCGAGCCCAUCAUCUAUCGUCUAACAAGUUUGCAGCGAAAAUGGCUCCAAAAUUUGACCUACUACAACCUCUACGAAUUGACUACUACUGACGGCAUGAAGGGGCCAUCCUCUAAAUAUGGAACAGUUGAAGCCAAAUCAUUCUGCGAAUGAUUCACUCCUCAAGCUCACCGCACCUUCUGCAACCUCUCCCACAAAAUCUUCCUGAACCCACACUGCUUGAGGGUUCUUCCCUUCAAAGGAAGGGUGGUGUUGUAAUUAAGUCUAGGCCGGUGUUUCGGCGAUAUAGGAAGCAUGAGAAAUUUAGCCCUAAUCAGCGCCUCCACUAUAGGGGAGCUGAGACCCGAGGUUUAGGUGUCGGCUGGAUCUCGUGGAUAGAAGAAGGAAUUUACGCAUUGGUCUAAUCUUUUGAAAAGAUUGAUCACAGCAUCCACUUGGAGUGUAGCCGUAUUGUCGGGUGUACCGUUCUCAAGUCCCUUCUUGUCAAGUGGUGUUCACAUUAGUUAAAAUGAAGACCUAAUUCUUACAUGUACAUAGGCAUUAAAUUAAGUUAGGAUAGUACCUUAAUCUUAUCUGUUUCUUGUAAAUAUAUGUAAUUCGUUAAAC